AAAUACUUCAAAUGAAACAUGUGGUGAAUGAGAGAGAGAAGGAAACUACUAAUGGAACUAAAAUGAAAAAGAAAAAAAGUGACUUCUUAUUUCACGCAAUUUCUGAGGAAGCAAAUGGGAGCAGACAGUUUCAUUUGCUAGGAUAUUGCUUAAGAAAAGCACUCAAAGGGAUAGAAGAAUUAGUAAACAGAAAAUUUUUCAUUUUUGAAGAGGGGGAAAAAGGAUAGCCAAACACUGAUAAAUAAAACUAAUCAAAAGGGCAAAGCACAUGGAAUGUCUCUGCAACUUGUCCUUAGUAAACCAAAACUAGGAAUGGCAGCAAAAGGAUACCAGAAAAAAUAUCCCCAACCGUUUACCCUCCCAAAUCCAAAACCUGAUUAAAAUUAAUCCUUUGCUAAUAGGAAUUGAAGUGGUUAGGGUACCACAAAAACUACACUCUCCCAACUACAUACAUAUCCCAAACCUGAUUAAAAUUAAUCCUUUGCUAAUAGGAAUUGAAGUGGUUAGGGUACCACAAAAACUACACUCUCCCAACUACAUACAUAUCCC
rnacentral:misc_RNA from 1 species